UGGGGAAUAUUGCGCAAUGGGGGGAACCCUGACGCAUCCAUGCCGCGUGAAUGAAGAAGGCCUUCGGGUUGUAAAGUUCUUUCGGUAUUGAGGAAGGUUGAUGUGUUAAUAGUACAUCAAAUUGACGUUAAAUACAGAAUAACCACCGGCUAACUCCGUGCCAGCAGCCGCGGUAAUACGGAGGGUGCGAGCGUUAAUCGGAAUAACUGGGCGUAAAGGGCACGCAGGCGGUUAUUUAAGUGAGGUGUGAAAGCCCUGGGCUUAACCUGGGAAUUGCAUUUCAGACUGGGUAACUAGAGUACUUUAUGGAGGGGUAGAAUUCCACGUGUAGCGGUGAAAUGCGUAAAGAUGUGGAGGAAUACCGAAGGCGAAGGCAGCCCCUUGGGAAUGUACUGACGCUCAUGUGCGAAAGCGUGGGGAGCAAACAGGAUUAUAUACCCUGGUAGUCCACGCUGUAAACGCUGUCGAUUUGGGGGUUGGGGUUUAACUCUGGCGCCCGUANCUAACGUGAUAAAUCGACCGCCUGGGGAGUACGGCCGCNAGGCUA
rnacentral:rRNA from 1 species